CUUUAUUUUAUGGUCAGAAAAUCGGAGGACAUCAGUUACUGAAUUAAAUACAAAACUUAGAUGAAAGCAUUUCAAAGCGUGUACAAACAUUGUUCACAUAUACUUAAGGAUACAUUUGUCAUGUUCAAGGAAGAGAUACAAUAUAAUAACUAAUAAGCUAUCAUAUUGGGUUUAAUAAAUCCUUGGAUUCAUUUUUUAUUUGUAACAUUAGAACAAGUAAAUUUUCCUGGAAAUAGUCUUAACAGAACAAUUUGACAGUGCUGAUUAUUUCCUCAUAUCAUGAAAAUAUUAAAAAAAAUAAAUCUUGUUCUCUAAAUCAAUCAAUAAAAACUCUAUUAUGCUUAUUUUUAUAGAAUAUUAUGUACUUUAAAUGACUUUAAGCAUUUUCCUAAGGACCAGCAAUUGAUUUUAGUGUUUUCCCUAAGAAAAUAUGGAAUGGUAUUACCUGUGUAAUAGUAAUUGUUCUUUCAAAGUGUUUAGCUAUGGAAAACACUUCUCUGUAUAAAUGAAAAAAAAAAAAUAGAAGGUUCUUCAAAAGAGUAGUAAACUAGAACCUUCACUUUAAAUAAUUAUGGAGUUUCUCAAAUGUAGCCAGUUUCUAGCCUUUUUUCCCUUUUCACUAGUCAUUUUGCAUCUUCUUUCAAAAUGCAUCAUCCUACAGAUGUGCCCUGAAAUGCUGGACAGCAUUUCUCUCUUUAAUUAUAGUAUUGCUAAUAGGUUAUAGAAUUAAAGUAGUGGGAAAAACUUGAAAUAAAAAAACAAGAUCCUCACACUAUUUUCUUUAUUGUAGAUACUUGCUUUAUGACAUUCACCACCACCCAGAUCUGCACAACUUGAUGCUCUCAACUCCCUUUUUUAUUAAUGAUUUAUGGAGAGGUGUUUCUACAUAGGCUCAGUCUUAGUGGUUCUAAAGAAAGGGAAGGUUGAGAGGAUGUAUUUGAUAAAUAAAAUACAUGUUUGAGAAAGUGCUGUGGAGGACAGAAAUAGUAAUUCAGAAUACGAGAUUUCAAGCUUCAAGAAGGAUAAAGAACAAUAUAAGAAAAUAUUUUAUCUACUGGAAAAGGUCGACAAUCUAUAGAAUCAUGACAGAAGAUCAAGCAAGAAAAUAAUUGGCCUUACAGAGUACACUGAAGAGUCUGAUUUUAUAAAAUAUAUUCAUUCUUCUCUUAAAGAUUUAGCUGCAGGACACAAUUCAUAUUUUCCAGGUUACAGAAAAAGCUCACAGCUCCUGCAUAUGAUAAGAAAGCAAGAUCAGUUCCUGUGAAAUGCUUUAGUUACUGAGAUAGGAAGUGUGUAUUAAAAAUAGCCUGUGGAUGAAGAGGAAUUCUAUGAGGAAAAAAUGGGGAGACAAGCUAAAAAAUUAUCUGUUGAAAUGUCUAGAGGGUAAAGAAAUCUUUAGGUUCAUAAAAAUAGUGCUCUGACAUUCCUGGUAAUAUCUGCCUUCAGCAAGAAUGAAUUAUGAAGGUCUGCGGCUUUUUUUUUACUUACUAAGAAUACAAAGGAGCUGCAGGCUAACUGAAGAAUUGUUUUUAAAUUCUAUGGGAUUCUGCACAUGAUAGUAUACAAAUGGGGAGAUUGCGCUCAUAUUUUACUGUACCACCUCAAAAGGAAGGUUAUUGGAUCUCUGAAAUCUGUAGGGCUCACACAUUUAUCACUUGUUUUUAGGAUUUUCAUCAGAUCUUCAUUAGGUGUCUCUUCUGAAGCAUCUCUGAAAGCAUACCCCUUUCCAUCUAUCUACACUCUUCACAAUGGGAAGAAGAACCCAGACUUUUCAAAAUAAACCACAAGAAGAUGAAAUAAGGAGCCACAGAUAAGGAGACCCUCUAGAUACUGAAAGGCCACUCUCAGGUCUCCCCGGAGCCUUCCCUGUUCCAGGCUGCACAGUCCCAGCUCUCGCAUCCUGUCCUUGUAGGAGAGGUGUUCCAUCCCUCUGAUCAUUUUUGUGGCCCUCCUCUGGAUGCAUUCCAACAGGUCCAUGUCUCUCCUGCACUGAGGACUCCACAUCUGGACACAGGAUUCCAGAUGUUCCCACUAUUUCAAUGACAUGCUGGGAGAGGAAAAUUGUAGCAAAAUUUUCUUGCAGUGUUCAUGGAAUCAUACAAUCACAGAAUGGUUUGGGUUGAAAGGGACCCCAAAGAUCUUCAAGAUCUAACUCCCUGCCACAGACAGGGUUGCCAGCUGCUAGAUCAAGUACUGGAUCUGGUUGCACAGGGCCCCAUCCAGCCUGGCCUUAAACACCUCCAGGGACAGGGCAUCCACAGCUUCUCUGGGCAACCUGUUCAAGCACCUCACCACUUUCUCAGUAAAGAACUUCCCUUGACAUCUAUUCUGAAUCUCCUUUUAGUUUAAAACCAUUACCCCUUGUCCUAUCACCAUCUACCCAUGUAAAAAGUUGAUUUACCUCAUGCUUAUAAACUUCCUUUAAAUACUGGAAGGCUGCAAUGAGGUCUCCCUGCAGCCUUCUCUUCUCCAGACUGAACUGGAGAAGUUCAGCCUAUUUUCCCUUCCCCUUCACUUCAUCUAAAAAAAUUAUGAAGCUUUAAAAUGUUUUCCAUUAAAAACAAACAAAGAAACAAAAAAACCCAAAGAAUUAGCCAAUUUAUUAUAAAAAGGAUAAUCUCAAACUUAUCAAGUUUCUAUUAAGCUGUACCCAGUGAAAGAGAAGGUUAUAGCUAAAUGACUUACUACUUAUGGGAGAUGACAUGUUUUGCAAUGUUUCUUCCCUUGCUUAUGUUAGAGAUCAUGGUGCUUAUGAACCUCACAGAAACACAAAAUUUGUGGUAUGUUUACUUAUUUAAUACACAGUAGAGCUGCCAGAAAAUUUGGAACGUGAAUUAUUUUGUUUUGUUUUUAUUGUAAUGUCAUGUUGUUCCUAAAAAAACCUGUAACUGCUCCGCAUAGUAGCAGAAUCUUAUCACACCGUUGCACAGCAUCCUCAUGUGUGCCAUAGGGAAUAAAUAAGUUACAGAGAGAACCUGAUGGGAAGAUGUCUCAGUACAGAAAAACAGACGUAUCUGAGAACAGGAAAAAAUCAAUUUGAAGAACUGAAACUAAAACAAAAAAUGCCUUCUAAACAAUGUAUGCCAUUACAGGGAGAUAACUUCCCUUCUUCAUUCAUGCAUAGAGUUGAAUUAAUUUUCAUUUUAUUUUUUUCUUACUCUCUCUUCUCCUCGGUGAUAUAUUUGCAGUCAACAGAAUUUCCGUUUGCAGAUAGGGGUAUUUGUAAGAUAAAUCAUGUUCAUUUUCAUUUCACUGUUUCAAGACAAUUACAUCAGAGAAUGAUUUUAAGCAACAACAAAAACAAAUAGACAAAUAAUAAUAAUUAAAACAAACAAACAAAAAAAACAAAAAACAACUGAGGAGCCAACACAAACAGCUAGUGGGAAUGAUUGAUUGUUACUUAAAAGUUUAAGUCAGUUUAUGUAGAGGAAGAUCCCACAAGCAUGAUGAGAUUAUGAUUCAAAUUAAGAAUAGAUAGCCGUAUCUGAAUUGUAUGACUAAUUUAUCACAUUUGAUGAUAUUACAGUUGAUAAUUUCAGACUCAAAACUCUGCUUUAUGUGCAUCGAAAAAGGAGCAUUACUAUUUUUGCGUUACUGCACUGUAGACUGAGACAAAACUCUAGUCUGCAGCCAGAAGUUUAUGACCCUUCUCUUGCUGAAGAAAUAAUGCAGUCAUCUGGAUUAGCCGUAAUUAUCAUUUAGGCCUUUUGAAAGCAGCACAGUUAAGAUCAUCAGAAGCAACUAGUGAUUUGCAUAACUUUGUGUUUGCCAGCCACUCAAAGCAUGCACAUACAUACUGCUGGUGCAGCUUCUUGCAAAGAUUCUGAAUUCAGUCUUUACUGUGUUUGAGAUUUUAGUCUAAACUGAGUUGAACAGAGAGCAAUUUCAAGGUAAAACACAAUUUUACCUUCAUGGUAAUAAGUACAUUAAAGUUUUCAGGGUCCAUUAUACAGUUUUAUGGUUGGAAACAUCCAAAUAAUUUAUCAGGAUGUGAUAUAAUAGAUGUGGAAUGUGUUUCUUUAAAAUUGUUUUAAAAAAGGAAGCUGUUAUUCAAACCUUGCUGAACUGCAUAAGGAAGAUAACGGCUGUAAAUCUUGGGAAGAUAAGGCUGAAAGGACUGCAUCUGGCCAGGAUGCUCUAUUCCUGAAAAGAAUGUAACAGAUUAACCACAAAGACAGUCAGCAAUUAGGCUUAAGUCAGACCAAAGGGUGAAAAAGGACAAGAAGAAGAAGACUCUGAGCCUUCAUCUUACAAUCCCAAAGACCACCACCACAAUUCAGGACUCAUGCUAAAAGGGGCUGGGCUAUGGGUGGAGAAUAUGAUAAUAAUCUCUUGGAAGUAAUUAUGAUAUAUCUCCUAUUCAUGGCAUAUGUAUGACUUGUCUCUAUAAAUGUUCUUAACCUCUACCUCAUGGUGUGCAAGCUAGAGAGGGGUUACCUCAUUUGCACCCAGCGUGUAUGUGCAGUGCUGAUUAAAUCACAUUAAAUCACACACAGUUUAUAGCUACUUUGUGGUUAUAGAGUUUGAUUCCACAAGUCAGAUGAUAUCUCUGAUAAAAGUGGAUUUUAUUUGUGAUUGCAAUGGCAGGAGUGCGCUUGCAGAGACGGUGUUACAUCUUUUAUGCCCUAUUACCCAGUGUUUAUCUUUUCCUCCCCUGGUUCCUCAUUUGAGGAAGUAUAUAGCGGCAGCUUUAUGAAUGGCAGAUUAGGGAAGUUUCUAAGGAACCAAGAAGGGAUUAGUGCAUCCUCUGUCAGAGACAGUAAUUAAAUACCAGAUAUCCACAUCAUAGUUUUCUGCUACCAUAAAAUGCAGACUCACAGCAUCUGUCUUUUUUAUCUUAAGUUUGGAAAGAAACACUUUCUCUUCAGUUGUGUAAAUAAGGUACUAACUGCCACACUACUAACUAGAUUUUAAACAGGGAAUGGAGGGUGGAGGAGUCAUUAUCUGGUAAAAUAAUGCCAAGUGCAUAACUAUCCUUGCUUGAUAUUUAUUAUACUGCCAUCAUUAAUAUUUCUUCUCUCAAAAUUAUUCCCAGACUUGAUUCACGUGUUCAUUAAUGUCACAUUUAUUUUUUAUGUGAAAGAAUAAAAGCAAUCGCCAUAGACCACUUACAGUUCAGGAGCACGAAGUACAAGUUUAAAUCAUACGUGCUUCAUGAAUGUACAAUACCUCUUUUAACAUAUUUGCAGUCACGUAAGAAACAACUUUAAUCACUAAAAUAAACUCAUCAAUGUCCUCACUUCUGUUGAAAUCAUGAAUUUGGGCCAUCAUUCUCAGUGUGUAGGUGGUAAAACUUAGUCAUUCAGUCUGGAAGCUGUAGAAGUACCCUGCCUCUUUCCAUAUGAAUCCCUAUUCUGCUUUGUGCCUGUCCAGUGUGUUGGCAAUUUCUUUUAAUAAGGACUGAGGAACAGUCUGUCUCAUUUACAGACUCAGUAAGUCAUAGGUUUCAUUACUCUGCCUUUUGUGAUAUACUUGGCACUCUAAAAGAUAUUGCUAACUAGAUGAUAGUUCAGUAGCCAGCCCUUCUGAUUUACUAGGAUUUUCAUUAAGAAGAUUUACGUACAGGACUAAAUUUCCUUGCUAUGUAAGACAGAAAUGUUAAGAGACAAAGCCUUUAUGAAAAGCAAAAAACUGACAAUUACAAAGUCAACAUAGAAUUUGAUUAGUGAUAGAAAAACUCGAAAACUGAACAGUUCACAGUCCUUACUUGUGUGGGAAUCAAAUGUUGUUUCUGCAUUAGAAUUAGAUAAGAAUUUUUAAUUUCAUGGUCUCCGCUGCCAUAGUUCUUCUUGGGAGUCUUUCUACUAUACUUGGGGGUGGUCUCUGCUAGUUUGCAUCACUUACCUUCUAGGUGAACCUUCCCCAGGAAUGCAUGCUCAGUAUAUAUGCUGAAGUAUAUAUGUAAUUUUUUGUCAUAUACAUUGCAAGAAUAUCCUGCACAAGAUUGAUCAAACCAGAUAAUAAGUGAUGACAUGCCCAAGGAAGCGCCUGAAGAGACAUUGGGAAGUCCUGGCAUCCUCUUACCCCCUGGUACUCUUUGUUUAAUGAAGACUUUGAAGAAAAUCACCGUAUGAGUACGAUAGGAAGAGUACUGAGGCAUCUUGGAAACAACAGCAUGGCUACUGACUGACACCAGAUAACACAAGAAUUAACGAAUGUAAACCUUUGAUAAAACUGUGAACCUGGAGUACCCAGCCAAUGGGGAAACAGGGGAGGGAAUAGGCAAAGGGGGGAAACAAGGUACAAAAGCUGUCACUGUGUACUUAGGGGCACUUCUGCUUGUGGGAGGCCCGCCAUUGCAAUCACAAAUAAAAUUUGCUUUUAUCGGGGAUACCGUCCUGACAAAAUUAUUUGGAUAUUUCCAACAGUUGGAGGAAGAUAAAUUCUAAAAUCUUUGUCAGUUGUUUACCAUGGGUGCUCUGAGAAGUUUAUUCUGUAGAAAGUGGGGUGGCUAUGAUGUCAAAAAUUUUAAGUGUUAAUUUGCUAAAAGGUAAAGUAAAUAAACAGUUUGAAACUGUUAUCAGAGAUAUCAGUGACCUUGCAUGUGAAUAACAAAAUAAAAAAAACUGAGAAAGAUACUUUAGUAGAGAAAGAGUGAUUAAAAGGGAAGGCCCGAUAAUAGUUCUCACUGAUCAGAAAAUAUCUGAACUUUAAAUAAAUAGUCUUUCAUUCCUGUACAAGUUCUGUUCUAACAAUUGAAUCAUACAGUGACUCAGUGAUUGCAAUAAAUUGAACAGGAUUUUUUUUUAAUGAAUAUCCAUGCCAAGAAAUAGUGAGAUGAAAGUAGAUAUUUCUGAUUGUUUGCAAAAAUGUUUCUGUGUAAUUACUUCUGGAAAAAUAUCAUUGCUUUUAUGUUC
ensembl:lncRNA